rnacentral:miRNA from 1 species
CUCCAGGGCUCUUGGCUUUUGCUAUCUCUGUGCUGUCAGCAGAUGCUGAUGAAGGUCCUACUGUGUGCCAGGCACUGGCAA